rnacentral:lncRNA from 1 species
AGUAGGAAACCUUGUUUGAGUAGGAAUCUUCAUUCUUCUAGGAAUCCAUCUUCAACUAGGAAUCCCUCGUUAAUUAGGAAUCCUUCUUGUACUAGGAAUCCUCAAAUCUUCAAAUCUUCAAUUUCAUCCAAACCUUGUGUUCCAAGCAUGUGCUAUUCACUCUAAGCUCACUUUUGCUCCAAAAAGCUCCAAUUUGCAUCAUUUUGUAUAAUAUGCCUUAAAAACCUGAAAACACAUGAAAAUAGCUUAAAAGACUACUUUAAAUAAGAAAACAUAACGAAAAUGCAUAAGAACUAGCUAACUAAGGCGCAUAAAUAUGCUCCUAUCAAUGAGCAUAUGGUGUCAAUGGUUCUCGCAUCUAAGUAGUAGCAUUCCAUUCAUGAGAUCAUAUCUAAAUGCUUAUUAACUCCUGAAAAUGCUUUAUUUGUUAUAUAUAUAUAUGUGCGAGGGUUCAUUUUUAUGUCUAUGAUAGGAGCAUAUUUAUGCGCCUUAGUUAGUUAGUUCUUAUGCAUUUAUGUUGUGUUUUCUUAGUUAAGUUAGUCUUUUUAAGCUAUUUUCAUGUGUUUUCAGGUUUUAGAGACAAAGUGAGCAAAAGGAUGCAAUUUGGAGCAUUUUGGAGCAAAAUUGGGCUAAAAUGGAGUUCAUGCACAUGAAGCACAAGGGAUGGACGAAUUUGAGGAAUUGAUGAAGCUAGGAAGGCGUUUCAAAGUUGAAGAAUUGAAGAUACCAAGUUUCCUAGUUGAAGUAGGAAAGAGCUUACAUGAAGGAUUCCUAAAUGAAGAAGGAUUCCUAAUCAAUGUAGGAGUCCUAAUUGAAGAUGGAUUCCUAGACGAAUAAAGUUUCCUACUCAAGCAAGGUUUCCUAUGUGAAGAAGAAGAGUAAAGUCAAAGAAUCAGCUCAAGAGAAGGAUCUUAUCCAAAACCACAUCCAUAACCUUAUCUUAGCUUAUCUUAUCCAUACAAACUUUAUCCUAUCUUAUCUUAUCCUAAUCCUAAACUAUCCACAUUCCAGCCACUUAGGAGGGUUUCUAAUUAGAUUAGGAUGCUUAAAAUGGGAUUUCUAGAAGCCUUAUCCCUUCCUAGAUAAGUGCCGCACCCUAUACCUUAUUUCCCUUGGAAUUUCAGAUUUCUAGAAGCCUUAUCAUCUCCUAUCUUUGUGCCGCACCUUAUUUCCCAAUCCCUUUGGGUUUUGACUUGUUUUCCUUAUAGGAUUGUAUGUUAUUAUCCUAUGCAACUUAGGCUUUUAAAACCUUGUCCUUGGCUACCUAGGAGAUGGGAUUUUCAGCCUAUAAAUACAAGGCCUUGCCGCACCCUUUCAUUCACCACCCUCUACCAGAUUUUCACUACACCAUUCACCAAUCAUACCUCUUGUGCCGUGAAUUUGCAAGGAGAAGAAGGAAGACAACUUGGAGCCGUGCAUGCCAUUCAAGACGUUGGAUUGUCGGAGCGUUUCUAGGUGUUUUCUAUCUUUAUGUCAAUGUUUAAAUUUAUUUAUCUUUGUUUAUUUGCGAAC